GGGCGAUUAGCUCAGUUGGCUAGAGCGCUGCCCUUACAAGGCAGAAGUCGCAGGUUCGAGCCCUGCAUCGCCCA
rnacentral:tRNA from 1 species